rnacentral:rRNA from 1 species
AAAAAAGUCUCGUGGGGAGUCUGCAGGGUGUCCGUACCGCAAACCGACACAGGUGGGUGAGGAGAAAAUCCUAAGGCGAUUGAGAGAACUCUCUCCAAGGAACUCGGCAAAUUACCACCGUAACUUCGGAAGAAGGUGGGCCCUCCGUAGGUGUAGUCGUACAGACGAAGCCGAUGAGGGUUGCAGAGAAAUGGCGGUAGCGACUGUUUACCAAAAACACAGGACUCUGCGAAGACGACAAGUCGACGUAUAGGGUCUGACUCCUGCCCGGUGCUGGAAGGUUAAGGGGAUUCGUCAGCCGCAAGGCGAAGCGAUGAUCCGAAGCCCCAGUAAACGGCGGCCGUAACUAUAACGGUCCUAAGGUAGCGAAAUUCCUUGUCGGGUAAGUUCCGACCUGCACGAAUGGAGUAACGACUUCCGCGCUGUCUCGGAGAGGGACUCAGCGAAAUUGAAAUAGCUGUGCCGAUGCAGUUUACCCGCAGCAAGACGGAAAGACCCCGUGAACCUUUACUACAACUUGACAGUGACACUAGGGAUUGACUGUGUAGGAUAGGUGCAGCCUUUGAAACCGGGCCGCUAGGUUCGGUGGAGGCAACGGUGAAAUACCACCCUGUUGAUUUCUGGUGUCUAACCGUGUCCCAUAAUCUGGGAUCGGGACACUGUCUGGUGGGUAGUUUGACUGGGGCGGUCGCCUCCCAAAGCGUAACGGAGGCGCGCGAUGGUUCCCUCAGCCCGAUUGGAAACCGGGCGGCGAGUGCAAUGGCAUAAGGGAGCUUAACUGCGAGACAGACAUGUCGAGCAGGUGCGAAAGCAGGUCAUAGUGAUCCGGUGGUUCUGAAUGGAAGGGCCAUCGCUCAACGGACAAAAGGUACUCCGGGGAUAACAGGCUUAUCUCCUCCAAGAGUUCACAUCGACGAGGAGGUUUGGCACCUCGAUGUCGGCUCAUCGCAUCCUGGGGCUGGAGCAGGUCCCAAGGGUUUGGCUGUUCGCCAAUUAAAGCGGUACGCGAGCUGGGUUCAAAACGUCGUGAGACAGUUUGGUCCCUAUCUGCUGUGGGCGUAGGAUACUUGAGAGGAUCUGUCCUUAGUACGAGAGGACCGGGAUGGAGACACCUCUGGUGUACCAGUUGUCACGCCAGUGGCAUCGCUGGGUAGCCAUGUGUCGAUUGGAUAACCGCUGAAAGCAUCUAAGCGGGAAACCGACCUCAAGAAUAGGUAUCCCGGGGGAAACCCCCUGAAGACCCGUCGAAGACUACGACGUUGAUAGGCCGGGUGUGUAAGCGUGGCAACACGUUGAGCUAACCGGUACUAAUUGGUCGUGCGGCUUACUUUC